AUACGGAGGGUGCAAGCGUUACUCGGAAUCACUGGGCGUAAAGCGCGCGCAGGCGGCUUGAUAAGUUGGAUGUGAAAGCCUACGGCUCAACCGUAGAACUGCAUCCAAAACUAUUGGGCUAGAGUGUGGGAGAGGAAGAUGGAAUUAGUUGUGUAGGGGUAAAAUCCGUAGAGAUAACUAGGAAUACCAAAAGCGAAGGCAAUCUUCUGGAACAUUACUGACGCUGAGGCGCGAAAGCGUGGGGAGCAAACAGGAUUAGAAACCCCGGUAGUCC
rnacentral:rRNA from 1 species